GGUAGAACUCACCAAUGGAUUAUGAUAUUGUUUCACAAAAAUCAGCAAGCAAAAAAAAUUGCAGAAUCAAAGAAAAUUCUAUUCAAGCAUUCGCUCGGAAGCAAGAAGCAAGUGAUUUUAAAGAUUUGCUUACAGAGGGCAAUGUCUAUUAUCUCGCAAACUUUAAUAUCCUUCCAAACAAAAAAAGUUAUAGAGCUGCGAAUGGAAAAUAUAUUAUUUAACUAACGAGGUCAACAACUGUUAAUGAAACAAAGGAUCAUGUAGAUGCCAUUCCUUUGCAUAAAUUUACUUUCACUGAUUUUCUCGACAUUUCAGAUGACAAUAAAAACAAUGUUAAUCUUAUAGAAGUUAUUGGUCAAAUUAUAUCUGUUGGUUCUCUUACACAUCUCUAUGCUGGACCGAAGUUAACUCCAAAAAGAAUUGUAGAAAUACAGAAUUUGAGGAAGGACAAAUUAUCUGUUACAUUAUAGGACAAGUUUGCAACGGACUUUGAUGAAGAUGCAAUCAUGAAUAAAGAAAAAGAUAUUCCUGUUAUUAUCAUAUUUGUAGGAAUGACAGUUAAAACUUU